rnacentral:rRNA from 1 species
UAAUACGUAGGUGGCAAGCGUUGUCCGGAUUUAUUGGGUUUAAAGGGUGCGUAGGCGGUCUGUUAAGUCAGUGGUGAAAUACUUCAGCUCAACUGGAGAGGUGCCAUUGAUACUGGCGGACUUGAGUACUGAUGAGGUAGGCGGAAUGGACGGUGUAGCGGUGAAAUGCUUAGAUAUCGUCCAGAACACCGAUAGCGAAGGCAGCUUACUAAAGAGUAACUGACGCUGAGGCACGAAAGUGUGGGGAUCAAACAGG